rnacentral:rRNA from 1 species
AUUGAACGCUGGCGGCAGGCCUAACACAUGCAAGUCGAGCGAGCGGCGGACGGGUGAGUAAUGUCUGGGAAACUGCCUGAUGGAGGGGGAUAACUACUGGAAACGGUAGCUAAUACCGCAUACCAUCAGAUGUGCCCAGAUGGGAUUAGCUAGUAGGUGGGGUAACGGCUCACCUAGGAGACGAUCCCUAGCUGGUCUGAGAGGAUGAUAAGUCCCACGUGAACUGAGAAACGGGCCAGACUCCUACGGGAGGCAGCAGUUGGGAAUAUUGGACAAUGGGCGAAAGCCUGAUCCAGCCGUGCCGCGUGUGUGAAGAAGGGCUGCGGAUUGUAAAGCACUUGAAGUUGGGAGGCGUUACCAACAGAAUAAGCACCGGCGAACUUCGUGCCAGCAGCCGCGGUAAUUC